rnacentral:tRNA from 1 species
UAUAAGAUAGUGUUUACUGCACAUAGACCUUUGAAUUCUAAAGCGGAAGCUAACCCUCCCUCCUAUAU